GACGAACGCUGGCGGCGUGCCUAAUACAUGCAAGUAGAACGCUGAAGGAGGAGCUUGCUUCUCCGGAUGAGUUGCGAACGGGUGAGUAACGCGUAGGUAACCUGCCUGGUAGCGGGGGAUAACUAUUGGAAACGAUAGCUAAUACCGCAUAACAGUAGAUAUUGCAUGAUAUCUGCUUGAAAGUUGCAAUUGCAUCACUACCAGAUGGACCUUCGUUGUAUUAGCUAGUUGGUGAGGUAACGCCUCACCAAGGCGGCGAUACAUAGCAGCCCUGAGAGGGGGAUCGGCCACACUGGGACUGAGACACGGCACAGAGGCCUAGGGGAGGCAGCAGUAGGGCAUCUUGGGGAAGGGGCGGAAGUCUGAGCGAGAAACGCGGAGUGAGUGAAGAAGGUUGUCGGAUCGUAAAGCUCUGUUGUAAGAGAAGAAAGAGUGUGCGAGUGGAAAGUUCACACUGUGACGGUAACUUACAAGAAAGGGACGGCUAACUACGUG
rnacentral:rRNA from 1 species